UAUAUAUAUAUAAUAUUUUGCAUAAUAUAAUAUAGUUAGGACGCGACAAGUCAAAUUUCGUGGUUAAGUAAUGAAAUCGAAUACUGAUGUAACAUACCGACUAUUUUAUGUAUAUUAUAUGAUAUGAACUUUAUGAAAUAUUUUAUUCAUGAAACAGUCGGACUAAAAAUACACACACACAUAUAUAAAUAUACACUUUCACCGUAGAUUAAUUACUAUAUUUUGUUUUUCUAAAGAGGGCAAAGGAAGAGGCGUAGGAAACUUUUUUGUAAAUUUUCAAAGAAACAAAAUCCCUUGAGGAGGCCCAAUUAUGGAUUACCAAAAUCCAACCGUACGAUAGCAUUGAUAGCCAGAGGGUUAUUUAUUUUCUUUCUAUUCCAGUAUGAGAAAUGGAGAAAAGCGUCGAUCGGGAUUAUGUUAUGUUUGUCCCGAUACGUUUGAAGAAUGCCAGAAAACUAAUAAGAUUGCAAAAGGUUCCUCGAAUGGCUCUUUAUCCGAUUGUUUUGAUUUCUCAAUUCUUCGGGCAUUUCGAAUUACCCAAUGCACGUCAUAUUGUCGAUAUAGGUGGCAUCACGGCGCCUCGAUCACUCAUUACUGUAAAUAUUUAUCUUGCUAAUAUGAAUUGUUGACUAUCGGUGCAUACCUUUUAGUACUGUCUAGUAUGGACAGGCUGCUGGUCGUAGUUCUCUGGACUUUUGAAGAAUUCACAGCGGAAGUAAUGGAAGCCGACGUGAUGAAAAUAUUUAAAGAGCGUUCACCUACAGUCGUCGAUUCUCCUCGAUGGUCAAUUCUCAAUUUUGAAAUCUUUAGCUUCUAAGACAGAACGGAAUCCGUUGACGAAUAGUGUUUAUGAGUUGGCGCCUUUAGGCGUUCCUUACUAAUUAACCUUAAAUUCUGUUAUCGGGCGUUCUCGUUACCAACGCCCUUGUCACUAUUGCUUUGAUCAUCGUUAUCCUAAAAUUGUCUUUUAGGUGAAAACGCCAGAGACCGUUUCGACGUUUCUGGCCUGAGCUCAUAAAGUUCCUUUCGUAGAUGUGACCUCAAUUUAACGACAUGAAGCUAUUGCUGAUGAAUCGUACAUUUCUUUCCAGACGGCAGACUGGAUUUGCUUUUACUAAGCCACGAUAUAGGUAUACGGGACGUCGACGUCGGCAUCUUUUCCCUUGUCUUUAAUGCGACUGAAAGUGGCAAGGACGCGACGUAGUGACUAUUGCGUAAAUUAUUUCAACGUUUGCUGCUCGGUAAUAUAAGUUCUUGCGCAAAAUUGAACUCGCACAAGAAAGGUUGACGUCUGCAUAUAUAUGUAUGUAUAUAUAUAUAUAAAUACCACGGAGUUUUGCGAAUAGGAAUUUUGGAGCGUUCCUGUCGGAAUCAAAUUUUCAUGGCAAUUCUGAUAUCAAUGAAACAUUCCAAUCGAUGGAAUUUCAAAAUAGCGAAAGAAUGUUAUUAUUUUACAUAUAAAAACCGGUAUUGAACCUUGUACAUGGGAUACACUUGAUUUGAAUUUUAUUACGAUUAUGGGUUUGUUAUCAAAAUUAUAGGAAUAAAUAAUUAAGACCUUCGAAAUAAUGUCGAUUUCGAGAUAUUCAAUGGUUUUGCGACAACAAAUAUAUACUUCGAUGUUUUUGCGUUCUUCUGUACAUUUGGAAUUUUCCUCCUAAGAUUUCAUCGCAGACCGAGUAACCGAGCAAUACUUAAAUUUCGAGGACGUUCGAGAAUGGACAAGUCCAAGGUGCGAGGAGUCCCAUGGAUUUAUGUAUCUCGUUAAGACGACUUCCUUAAUAUUCAUGGCUUAUAAAUCCACAAUUGAAAUAAAAAGAGAUAUAUCCGAAUAACUUAGGUUAAUCGUCGUCGGCUUACUCGUUGAUCGUAUUCUCUGAUCUUUAGGCUCGUUUCUAUGCUCGGAAAGACGUCCCGGAGCACGCGACUCGCGCAACAAACAAAACUCGAGAGUCGCUCGAGCUUGAAGAUGCGCGAGCCCAUAAACGAUGAAGGUCUCACUAUGGAGAAAUGUUUGCAGCUAUACCUGAUCAGCAUACAGAAGCACCUCGUAUACACACUGCCAAGGAGAGAGACAGAGAGAAAGAGAGACAGAGAGAAAGAGAGAGAGAGAGAGAAAAAGAAGCAACUAAUAUCUAACUUUGAAACAGUGCCGAUCGUCUUCAAACAACGUAUCUACACUUCUUCCUGCGCCAUAUUGUAUUCUCUGUAUCCUCUAACCGCAUUCAAACUUAUAAAUACGCACGCGUAGACGUCAGAAGACCCGAGAUUUUUCGAGAAAAAUAAGAGACCGAUACAUGGCAUCGAGCCCAGGCUUUGCUUUGUCGAACUGACCGAAUUAUUUCAUUAAAAACUCCACGCGUAAUUCUUAGGCGGUCUAGGUUUAUAUCUACGGGUCGCCGUAUGAAAUUAGCGUCAAUGCGCAUGCGCGUUGCUAGCGCGAGUGUCUGACGAGGUUUGAAUCGAAAGAAAUUAUUACAUCGCCAUCAUUAAGUUAUAUAUCAUGAAGGUAAGUCGUCGACCGCACUUUUGACCUGCGAAAUAUAUUCGUGUGACAACGUGACACUUGAUGAUCUAUUCGAAUCAGAAAUGCAGUCGACUCUCUGUAUAAUCGUGCACCUGGGGCUUCCAGAGGCGAUAGCCAUCGAGAGAGAGAGGGCGAUAGUACGGAGAUCCGCCACUCCGUCGAUAUCACAGUGGCGUGACGGUCGAUCGGCGCUACUAGGUUAAUCAGCACGAGCUGAGUUCACGCAUGUCGUGUUUUACCGCGUGUGCUGAAAGUCGUAGAAGAGUGGGACAAACCUUUUCCUCUUGAUGCGACGGUUUAGAAAGAGAGCUGAGUGGAAAUCAGACUAUACGAAGUGCGUUUACAGGGAGGAGUCGACUGUACUAUUUUUUUGGCCAUUGUACUGUAAGAAAUAUAAGUGCGCUCGAGGGUUAAUGACAUUCUGCUUGUCAUGUUUAUUCGGUUUCAUGAUUUUGAUAAUGACUUCAUUUAAAAUAUAUAUGUAGUGAAUCGACCAGCUAUUUAUCUAAUGUAAACAAAUUUAUUCGUAUUUAUGUAAACGAUGAAAUUUUGUCGCUUUCGAGUAAAGUUCGAGUGUAAUAUUUUUUUGCAUUUUUGCAUACGUAAAUAUCGUUAACAUUUUUGCACUCUCCGAGCAUCAAUUCUGCUGUACAUUAAUUAAUGCACGAGUGCGGACGUUUGCCGUUUCCUGCUUAAUGCCGAACAGAUGCUUUCGCGACGAUACGUCACUCUUGUGUACCUAUGGAUCACGCACGUUAUUCCAAUCAUAAUUAUUCUACUUUCCACUGAAAAAAAAGCGGUUAACUCAAGAUUUUACGUCACGGAAGCAGUACGCAAAAUGAUACCUCAAAGUCAGUCGGUACGGACGUCACGUAAUAUUAUGAUUACAGUGAGCACGGAAAACAAAUGCACGUAGUACAGUUGCCCCUGUUGAAUGGCAACCGGCAAAGCGUACGCGUCAACGACAUUAAACAGAAGUCUGCAGCCAGGGAAGACGGUAUAAGCGCAACCGGUACGAUUAGACCAACGAGGGGAGCAUGCAAAUCGGCCAGAAUAAAAUUUAGAAACAGCUGGACAGACAAAGCAAACACAUGCAAAUACAUACCUAUAAAAGGAUAAACGAUAUAUGUGUAUGAAGCAAAUAAAAUAAUAUAACAAAGAAGACAUCUGUAAAAUUAAAAAUAAUCAAUGACCAAUAAUGUCACGUGGUGAUACAUACAAAGCGAGCCUGGGCGUUCAUAGAUUUAGAAGACUUACCCGUAAAACCAAGGAUUCACCUGUUGCUCCUGCCCGGGAAAGUCAGCAUGUAAAACAAUGCUCGUUAAUGUCACUAGCCGACGACAAGUUCACUGGUAGAAAGAUAGAGAGAAAAAUAACAAAAAUA